GACGAACGCUGGCGGCGUGCUUAACACAUGCAAGUCGAACGGUGAAAGCGGAGCUUGCUCCGCUGGAUCAGUGGCGAACGGGUGAGUAACACGUGGGCAACCUGCCCCUCACUUCGGGAUAACUCCGGGAAACCGGGGCUAAUACCGGAUAUGACCUCCUUGGGCAUCCUUGGAGGUGGAAAGUUUUUCGGUGAGGGAUGGGCCCGCGGCCUAUCAGCUUGUUGGUGAGGUAGUGGCUCACCAAGGCGACGACGGGUAGCCGGCCUGAGAGGGCGACCGGCCACACUGGGACUGAGACACGGCCCAGACUCCUACGGGAGGCAGCAGUGGGGAAUAUUGCGCAAUGGGCGAAAGCCUGACGCAGCAACGCCGCGUGCGGGAUGACGGCCUUCGGGUUGUAAACCGCUUUCAGCAGGGAAGAAGCCGCAAGGUGACGGUACCUGCAGAAGAAGCACCGGCUAACUACGUGCCAGCAGCCGCCGCCG
rnacentral:rRNA from 1 species